GGCUGGUCUGAAGGUAGUGAGUUACCUCAACUGAUUGUUGACAGUCAGUUACAGAUCAAACUCCUUGUUCUGCUCUUUCCCCGCUUCUCACUGCUGCACUUGGCUAGUUUUUA
ensembl:misc_RNA Y_RNA Y RNA